ACGCUGGCGGCAUGCCUUACACAUGCAAGUCGAACGGCAGCACGGACUUCGGUCUGGUGGCGAGUGGCGAACGGGUGAGUAAUACAUCGGAACGUGCCUAGUAGUGGGGGAUAACUACUCGAAAGAGUAGCUAAUACCGCAUGAGAUCUACGGAUGAAAGCAGGGGAUCGCAAGACCUUGUGCUACUGGAGCGGCCGAUGGCAGAUUAGGUAGUUGGUGGGAUAAAAGCUUACCAAGCCGACGAUCUGUAGCUGGUCUGAGAGGACGAUCAGCCACACUGGGACUGAGACACGGCCCAGACUCCUACGGGAGGCAGCAGUGGGGAAUUUUGGACAAUGGGCGAAAGCCUGAUCCAGCAAUGCCGCGUGCAGGAUGAAGGCCUUCGGGUUGUAAACUGCUUUUGUACGGAACGAAAAGCUUUGGGUUAAUACCCUGGAGUCAUGACGGUACCGUAAGAAUAAGCACCGGCUAACU
rnacentral:rRNA from 1 species